AAUUGACAUGAUCUUGGCUAUGCCUCUUAGCACCCCAUUGGCUAAGGCGCUCUCCAGCUUAGAGUUUCUGCUUAGCAGAGUUCGGAUGUUACAAGAAACUGUAGCGAAAUUUCCAUUAUCUGAUUUUUUGGACCCCAUAUUUGCUCUGGUGUGCUCAUGGUAUAAGUUGGAAUUUGAAUCCUGUCCUGCUCUGCUUAAUGAAGUUGAAGAUCAGUUUGAGAAGAAUGCAGAGAAGUUGUGGUUGCCACUAUAUUCAGUUCUUCGACGUGAGCAGUGUGAUG
rnacentral:misc_RNA from 1 species